CUUAUGGUGAGCUCAGGGAAGACAGAAACCUUCUGCGGGGCAGAAGGGGCAAAAGCUCACUUGAUCUUGGUUUUCAGUAUGCAUACAGCCCAUGAAAGAGGGG
rnacentral:ncRNA from 1 species